GUAGGUGGCAAGCGUUGUCCGGAAUUAUUGGGCGUAAAGCGCGCGCAGGCGGUUCUUUAAGUCUGAUGUGAAAGCCCACGGCUCAACCGUGGAGGGUCAUUGGAAACUGGAGAACUUGAGUACAGAAGAGGAAAGCGGAAUUCCACGUGUAGCGGUGAAAUGCGUAGAGAUGUGGAGGAACACCAGUGGCGAAGGCGGCUUUCUGGUCUGUAACUGACGCUGAGGCGCGAAAGCGUGGGGAGCAAACAGGAUUAGAUACCCUGGUAGUCCACGCCGUAAACGAUGAGUGCUAAGUGUUAGGGGGGUUUCCGCCCCCCUUAGUGCUGCAACUAACGCAUUAAGCACUCCGCCUGGGGAUACGGCCGCAAGGCUG
rnacentral:rRNA from 1 species